rnacentral:tRNA from 1 species
GGGCAGGUGGCGUAACUGGUAGCCGCGCGGGGCUUAGAAUCCCGUGCCGAAAGGCGUGCGGGUUCGAGUCCCGCCCUGCCCA